CAGAACACUCCUUAGAUCACGUAAGAUCUCUACUUCCUCCGUAUAUUCUAAAACUUGGCACGCUUUUGUCUGCUGGGCACAGGAACAGCAUGUGGGCAUUAACCCUCCUGCCUUAUCUUCCGUGCUCUGUUUACUUCAAGCAGGCCUUGAUAGAGGCCUGAGCUACAACUCUCUGAAGGUCCAUGUAUCAACUCUAUCCACUUUGAUCGGCACUCGAUGGGCUCUAGAACCAUUGGUC